UACGGAGGGUGCUAGCGUUGUUCGGAAUUACUGGGCGUAAAGCGCACGUAGGCGGCUUUGUAAGUUAGAGGUGAAAGCCCGGGGCUCAACUCCGGAACUGCCUUUAAGACUGCAUCGCUUGAAUCCAGGAGAGGUGAGUGGAAUUCCGAGUGUAGAGGUGAAAUUCGUAGAUAUUCGGAAGAACACCAGUGGCGAAGGCGGCUCACUGGACUGGUAUUGACGCUGAGGUGCGAAAGCGUGGGGAGCAAACAGG
rnacentral:rRNA from 1 species